rnacentral:lncRNA from 1 species
CUACGGAUUUUUGGACUCCAAAAAUUGGGGCGAGCGAGCGAUUUGAAAAUUUUAAUAAAAAAAUAUUUUUUUUGCAAAUUUUUGAGGCGAAGCUUCAAAAGUAAAGGCCAGCGAUUAUAUUUUUUUUUUGUAAACAUAAAAUAGUAGGUUUUGACAAUAUUAAAACUUGAUUUAUCACUUGUACUUUGGCAUUUCUUUAAUUUAUGAAGUAUUUUUCCCCGUUCACCAAUAAAUAAUUGAAUAAUUAGAUUUGGUAUAUGUAUGUGUGCCAAUUAAUGAGACAAUUCUCCAUCCAAGUCAUAAUCAGGUUGGGAACAACCCCUCUAUUUUAUAAAUAUCCUUUUUAUGAGGGGUCAAUAUAAGUUGCAAUAUAUUUUUUUGUAAAUAACACUUUUUAGUACAAAAGAGCUCAUAUUUUCCCAAAGAACUAUAUAUCUAUCUGGUAUUAAAUGGUCAAAACAUGCCCAAGAAUUUUGUAAUAUUCCUGGACUUGGGCCAUGUUAACACAUUUACUUUAAUAUUAUUCAAAAUAAGUGGACCCCUCUUUAAGAAUAGUAAUGUUGUUUAAAAUAUGAUGUAUUUCUCCUCUUUUUAAGUAAAUUUUUUUAAGUUCUUCAAAGGAUUUGUAUAGUAACACUAUGCAAAUCCUUGGUAUUUCUUUUUUUCUUUUUUACAACAGUAAAGUGACCCCAUAUGUGCUCUGUCUGAGGGAUAAUAGCAAAUACAGGUCAUAGUACGUACGACAGGGCUUUGACCCAGACCAAACAGCAAGCUAUAAGGGACCCCAAACUGAUUAUAAGUGUACACAAUUCGAACAGGAAAACCAACGAUCUAAUUUAUAUAUUAUAUACAAACGGGAAAAUACCAAAUAAUAUUUAUGAACAUCAACCAACGAUAUCUAACUGCUGAACGACAGGCCCCUGAAUCAAUCAGACAGGUGCAUAAACAUGCAGGGGGUAUGGAUAGUUUUGUAUCGCCAGCAUAUUGCAGUUGAAGGCAUUUCUUUCCGAAGUUCUUUGAAGUUUAUUACUAACAACGAACAUAUUUUGAUAGGGAAUGUAAGUAAGGGGGAAGGAAACCAAUGUUUUGUUCUGUACAGGUAUUUUCUUCUGUUUUCUAUUUAUAUCGGAGCACUCUCAUUUGGGAUAAAUGGGUUUCAUGCUGAAUCAAAUAUUAUCACAGACAUUGACACAGUGUACUUGGGUGCUUAUAUGUUUAAAAUCGUUAUAAAUACAGGUUUAUAGAUUGUGAUUAUAAAAACAAGUGCAAAUAUCUGUUUAUAAUUUUUACAAAAAAAAACGGUGCGGGAAAUGGACACGAUUACAUUUCCGGAUGCGGGAAGCGGGAAUAUAAAAAAAAUAAAAAAAUUCUACUUUGAAAAAAAUAGGUGCGGGCGGGUCCGUCGAACAAGGAAUUAAAUUGGUGUGGCCUAAGCUUU